rnacentral:rRNA from 1 species
GAUGAACGCUGGCGGCGUGCCUAAUACAUGCAAGUCGAGCGAACAGACGAGGAGCUUGCUCCUCUGACGUUAGCGGCGGACGGGUGAGUAACACGUGGAUAACCUACCUAUAAGACUGGGAUAACUUCGGGAAACCGGAGCUAAUACCGGAUAAUAUAUUGAACCGCAUGGUUCAAUAGUGAAAGACGGUUUUGCUGUCACUUAUAGAUGGAUCCGCGCCGCAUUAGCUAGUUGGUAAGGUAACGGCUUACCAAGGCAACGAUGCGUAGCCGACCUGAGAGGGUGAUCGGCCACACUGGAACUGAGACACGGUCCAGACUCCUACGGGAGGCAGCAGUAGGGAAUCUUCCGCAAGGGGCGAAAGCCUGACGGAGCAACGCCGCGUGAGUGAUGAAGGUCUUCGGAUCGUAAAACUCUGUUAUUUGGGAAGAACAAAUGUGUAAGUAACUAUGCACGUCUUGACGGUACCUAAUCAGAAAGCCACGGCUAACUACGUG